rnacentral:rRNA from 1 species
UACAGAGGUCCCGAGCGUUGUUCGGAUUUAUUGGGCGUAAAGGGUGCGUAGGCGGCGGAGUAAGUUGGGUGUGAAAUCCCGGGGCUCAACCUCGGAAUGGCAUUCAAUACUGCUUCGCUCGAGUUCUGUAGAGGAGAUUGGAAUUUACGGUGUAGCAGUGAAAUGCGUAGAUAUCGUAAGGAACGCCAGUGGCGAAAGCGAAUCUCUGGGCAGCAACUGACGCUGAGGCACGAAGGCCAGGGGAGCAAACGGG